UAAUAAGCGGCAGGAUUUUUGAAAUGGGUUCUAUUCCCAAACCGUGUAUACAUACCUUUGUUGCUUUGGCAGGCCGCCUUCUAGGCGUCGGCUCCGGCUGACUGCGCCUGCCAGAGGACCCAAAUUCUUCUGUUUAGUGAUGUCUGAGUACUAUAUAAUAGUUAAAACUUUCAACAACGGAUCUCUUGGUUCUGGCAUCGAUGAAGAACGCAGCGAAAUGCGAUAAGUAAUGUGAAUUGCAGAAUUCAGUGAAUCAUCGAAUCUUUGAACGCACAUUGCGCCCCUUGGUAUUCCGAGGGGCAUGCCUGUUCGAGCGUCAUUAUAACCACUCAAGCCUCGGCUUGGUCUUGGGGUUCGCGGUUUCGCGGCCCUUAAAAUCAGUGGCGGUGCCGUCUGGCUCUAAGCGUAGUAAUUCUCUCGCUAUAGGGUCCAGGUGACCACCUGCCAUAACCCCCCAUUCUUUACGGUUGACCUCGGAUCAG
rnacentral:rRNA from 1 species